rnacentral:rRNA from 1 species
GGAUGAACGCUAGCUACAGGCUUAACACAUGCAAGUCGAGGGGAAACGACAUCGAAAGCUUGCUUUUGAUGGGCGUCGACCGGCGCACGGGUGAGUAACGCGUAUCCAACCUGCCCACCACUUGGGGAUAACCUUGCGAAAGUAAGACUAAUACCCAAUGACGUCUCUAGAAGACAUCUGAAGGAGAUUAAAGAUUUAUCGGUGAUGGAUGGGGAUGCGUCUGAUUAGCUUGUUGGCGGGGUAACGGCCCACCAAGGCGACGAUCAGUAGGGGUUCUGAGAGGAAGGUCCCCCACAUUGGAACUGAGACACGGUCCAAACUCCUACGGGAGGCAGCAGUGAGGAAUAUUGGUCAAUGGACGAGAGUCUGAACCAGCCAAGUAGCGUGCAGGAUGACGGCCCUAUGGGUUGUAAACUGCUUUUAUAAGGGAAUAAAGUGAGUCUCGUGAGACUUUUUGCAUGUACCUUAUGAAUAAGGACCGGCUAAUUCCGUGCCAGCAGCCGCGGUAAUACGGAAGGUCCGGGCGUUAUCCGGAUUUAUUGGGUUUAAAGGGAGCGUAGGCCGGAGAUUAAGCGUGUUGUGAAAUGUAGACGCUCAACGUCUGCACUGCAGCGCGAACUGGUUUCCUUGAGUACGCACAAAGUGGGCGGAAUUCGUGGUGUAGCGGUGAAAUGCUUAGAUAUCACGAAGAACUCCGAUUGCGAAGGCAGCUCACUGGAGCGCAACUGACGCUGAAGCUCGAAAGUGCGGGUAUCGAACAGGAUUAGAUACCCUGGUAGUCCGCACGGUAAACGAUGGAUGCCCGCUGUUGGUCUGAAUAGGUCAGCGGCCAAGCGAAAGCAUUAAGCAUCCCACCUGGGGAGUACGCCGGCAACGGUGAAACUCAAAGGAAUUGACGG